rnacentral:tRNA from 1 species
GGUGGCUCAAUAGUAGAGUGCUUGCCUUGCAUGCAUGAGGCCUUGGGUUCGAUUCCUCAGCACCA